CCUACGGGAGGCAGCAGUGAGGAAUAUUGGUCAAUGGACGAGAGUCUGAACCAGCCAAGUAGCGUGAAGGAUGACUGCCCUAUGGGUUGUAAACUUCUUUUAUAUGGGAAUAAAAUGUUCCACGUGUGGGAUUUUGUAUGUACCAUAUGAAUAAGGAUCGGCUAACUCCGUGCCAGCAGCCGCGGUAAUACGUAGGAUCCGAGCGUUAUCCGGAUUUAUUUGGGUUAAAGGGAGCGGAGUGGGAUUGUUAAGUCAGUUGUGAAAGUUUGCGGCUCAACCGUAAAAUUGCAGUUGAAACUGGCAGUCUUGAGUACAGGAGAGGUGGGCGGAAUUCGUGGUGUAGCGGUGAAAUGCUUAGAUAUCACGAAGAACGCCGAGUGCGAAGGCAGCUCACUGGACUGCAACUGACACUGAGGCUCGAAAGUGUGGGUAUCAAACAGGAUUAGAUACCCGGGUAGUC
rnacentral:rRNA from 1 species